GGAUCCUCUCACUCCAGACGGACGGUUUGCAGACCUGCAGGAACCCUAGGGUAUUGCGAACUCUUUUUGUGGACGGUGGGGUGGAUAUGACUCCAGGUGGGCCCCCAGCCCAGAAGAGGUACAGUGGUCUUGAGUAGGUUUUUGGGCUUGCAGUGUGUCAAGUGAGGUAGGGAUGCAAUGUUGACCGUUUAUUCGGAUCCAGAACUUCAGAUAGAGCUC